rnacentral:rRNA from 1 species
CCUACGGGAGGCAGCAGUGGGGGAUAUUGCACAAUGGGGGAAACCCUGAUGCAGCGACGCCGCGUGGGCGAAGAAGUAUUUCGGUAUGUAAAGCUCUAUCAGCAGGGAAGAAGAAAUGACGGUACCUGGGUAAGAAGGACCGGCCAAAUACGUGCCAGCAGCCGCGGUAAUACGUAUGGUGCAAGCGUUAUCCGGAUUUACGGGGGGUAAAGGGCGGGCAGGCGGGAAGGCAAGCCUGAUGUGAAAGCCCGCGGCCCAACCGCGGGACUGCAUUGGGAACUACCGGGCUGGAGUGCCGGAGAGGUAGGCGGAAUUCCUAGUGUAGCGGUGAAAUGCGUAGAUAUUAGGAGGAACACCAGUGGCGAAGGCGGCCUACUGGACGGUAACUGACGCUGAGGCUCGAAAGCGUGGGGAGCAAACAGGAUUAGAUACCCUUGUAGUC